rnacentral:rRNA from 1 species
UACGAAGGGAGCUAGCGUUGUUCGGAAUUACUGGGCGUAAAGGGCGCGUAGGCGGCUUUGUAAGUCAGAUGUGAAAGCCCCGGGCUUAACCUGGGAACUGCAUUUGAUACUGCAAGGCUAGAGGAUGAGAGAGGAAAGUGGAAUUGCGAGUGUAGAGGUGAAAUUCGUAGAUAUUCGCAAGAACACCAGUGGCGAAGGCGGCUUUCUGGCUCAUUACUGACGCUAAGGCGCGAAAGCGUGGGGAGCAAACAGG